rnacentral:lncRNA from 1 species
GGGGCGGGAACCUAUACCGCUUUCAAGUUUCCAGAAGAUGGUGACUUUACCCUACAAAUAUAAUGGUGCCAUUCUUUUUGAGGUGAGGUGAGGUAAGGCUUUAUCUCUGUAGAUAUAUAUAUCUUAGCAAGAACCACGGGGGUUGCUACCGAAAUUGAUUUCUAAAAUAUGGGUUUUUGGUUGUUUUUGAAUCUCAUUUAUUAUAUUUUAGGGAAAUAGAAAAAAAUAACCCAUUUUGUUAAUCUUGGAACCAAAAUAUUACAAACAAGCCAUACACAAGUCAUGCACACCAUGCACAUAAAAAACAGGACCAACACGGACAUCCAAAUAAAAAUUUCAUCAAUUUGUUUAUACUAAAUCCGUUAUUCUGAUUUCAUUUUGAAUUCACUGGGAAAAAUACAUAAAUCCAUAAGACGGGAGGAAAAAGUCGUGAUUCAGCACCAUAAGAUGUGAUUAACAACAAUUUUUUAUGAAACCCCAAUUGAAUCUAAAGUGAGCAGCUUUACACACACACCCUGAAUUUAUACAUGAAGAAUGAAGUUUUAUAUUGCAAAUCCAUGAUUUGUUUUUCUCAGUCUGUUGUUCCUCCUGCCAGGAAGAGCUUGGUGAAAAAUGGCUCCCUCUUUGUUUUUAGAAUUAAGGUAUGCAUGUAUUCAUGUUCUUCUACCUUUUCUUCGUUUCUAUUUUUUUUUAGUAGAAAAAUGAUUUCUCCUAAAUAAUUUAUAGCCAUGGCAGCAGGUCACUUGAAUAUAAGAUGAAAAAUACUGAUUGAGAGAUGGUUUUACAUUUUUAUGGUCAAAUUUUUGUUAGAAAUUGAUGUCUGAGAUUACUGUCAGCUCAACAUUUGUUUUCUUAUGAUUUCUAGGCUUUUAGAUUAAAAACUAGCAAGAGUGUCUGCGCGAUGCUGCAGGUUUUAAAAAUGUAUAAAAUAUGUCGCAAGUUUUAAAUAUACAUGAUAAGCCGUACUACUUGUAUAUGUGGAAAUCCAAUUACAACCCUAUCUAAAAUAAGAAACAAUGAGUAGAGUUGAAGUUCCUUAAUCAAAUGAGUUUGUUUCUUCACCUUGUUCCUCCUUUCUUCUCAUAUGGACCUGUUUUCAUUUAUCUGUUAGAAAUUGGAAAAAUAGAAGUUAAUGUGAACAAAUGACGGUUGGAUUUAUUAAAAGGAUCCUCUUGCUAAAGAUCAGAACAAUAAAAGGACUAACAGGAUCCUCUUGCUAAAGAUCAGACCAAUAAAAGGACUAAUGGAAAGUUAGAAAAAUGACUUACGCAGUUGAAAACAUUAGGCAUUAUUAACCAAACAUGUAAAGUUUAUAUCAAAUUUUAUAUUAUGUGUGGUUUGAACUAUGGAUGAUAACAAUGAGAUAAUUGAACAUAUUUGUGGUUAAUGGACAGACAGUGUUUCAGAGAAAAGUCUCUCUAUCUUAACAUUCAACACACAAAAUUUUAAAUAUAAAGGAUUUAGCAUAUUUAAACAUGAUAAUUGCAUGAACUCAUUAGGCUUAAAAAAAUGGAUUCAAGUAGAUAGAAUAUUAAAAUUGAGAACAAAACAACAAAGUUGGAGUCAGUCGUUGGAAAAUGAAAGUUGAUUCCAUUGUUCCUCUACGUUCCUAUUAUAAAAAGUAACAACCCUUUUUUAUGACCAGUCCCAAAUUUUAGAUAAUGGACUUUGCUUAUCAAAUUCGUAUAUAUAGAUAACUUGCACGUUGCCAUGGGAAUGUGAAAUAGAUUAUCAGUAUUGUAUAUAACUGUUAGAAUAAUGGAUUAUAUGUGUUAUAAGCUUUGUGCGUAUAUAUGUAAAAACUAUUUACACAAAACAUGUACAACGCAAAAAUGCUGAUUACGAAUACAUGCUUACCUAUAUGACAAACAAAUGUGACGUCAAAUGCGUGAAAAAAGAGAAUCGCAUACUUAUUCCCAAUGUACUCAGAGAGCUUGAUCUGAAAUCCAAAACCAAAUCUUCAAUUUCAAUGAAACAAAGAGCUUAUAGUCAUUUGAAAGAUCUUCUAUAAGAAGCACUUAAACUUUCAAGCGCUUUUGCUAGAAAUGUUUUUACUUUAAACAUGUUUGAAGUUUCUAUCAAGGUCCAAAUGCUCCCUUAAAAAAACAUAGAAGUGCUUCUUGAAGCAUCUGACAUUAACAGAACACAAACUGAAAAAUGAAAAGCAAGUGACUUGUACAUGAAAUUAUGUUCACUCCAAAAACUACACUAUUCAACUUUAAAAUGCAGGAAAAAUGAAUGUUUUGAUACAAAUUUCAAAGAGGAUAAUUAAACUACAAAAACAUAAUUAUAAUGCAUGCAUCCGUACCUGGCAAUCAAGAAGGCAAUCAAGAAGCUGUUGCAAAGCAGGUAAUUGACUUAGUAAAUCUGUGCUAUCAAGACACAAAAAUCAGAGCAUGCUAAACUUUUUUGUGCAUUCAUUGGUUCAUUGUUAAAAAAAAAAAAUUGCAGAGAAGAGAUUUUUUACCUAAUUUUUCAGAAAUGAUGGUGCACCUGCAGCUGCUGCAGUCUUAUUCUGUGGAGUUUUUCAUGUUAUAAUCUCAAGUAGAAUUGACUUACAUACAGUUGUUAUAAAACAACAUUUGUAUAGCACAUAAGAAGAGAAUGCUUUGAAUGAUGAUAUAUUCUUCUCAAUAAGAGGAACUUAUAGGUGUACAACCCUAACAAAAAAGGAAAGAAAACUAAUUACAAGUGAUUACAUGGGAUUACAUAUCAAUUAGGGAUCCUACCUAAAAUACAAAAGUCAACACUCCCCCUCAAGUUGGUGCAUAUAUGUCGCUCAUGCCCAACUUGUGUAAGAAACUUGAAAUCUUGUGACUCGAAACAGCUUUUGUGAGGAUAUCUGCCAACUGAUCUUCUGUUCUUAUCGCCGGUACUUCAAUUAUUUUCUCUUCCAAAUUUUUCUUUGAUGAAGAACCGAUCAACUUCAACAUGCCUUGUUCUAUCAUGUUGUACCGGAUUAUGUGCAAUGUCACGAGCAGCUUUAUUAUCACAAAAUAAUUUCAUGGGCUGAUCAUGUUGUAUACCCAAAUCGCUUAACAGAAGCUUAAGCCACAAAAUUUCACAAAUCCCCAAAGCCAUACCUCUGUAUUCUGCUUCUGUACUGGAACGGGCAACCACAUUCUGUUUCUUACUUCUCCAUGUAACCAAGUUACCCCCAACAAACGUAAAGUAACCUGAUGUUGAACGUCUAUCAUCAAUGGAACCUGCCCAGUCUGCAUCAGUAUAACCUUCAACACUAAAGUGAUUAUUCCUCUUAAACAAAAUUCCUUUGCCUGGACUUCCCUUCAAAUAUCGCAAUAUUCUCAUCACAGCAUUCAUAUGUUGUUCUCCAGGAUCAUGCAUGUAUUGACUCACUACACUCAAGGCAUAAGCAAGGUCCGGUCUUGUGUGUGCCAAAUACAUCAAACGGCCUACUAACCUUUGGUAUCUUCCUUUGUCAACUGGUACUUGAUUAGGAUCACCACUAAGCUUCAAUCCUUCUUCUAAUGGUGUAGCUACUGGCUGACAAGCUGACAUGCUAGUUUCGUGCAACAAAUCAAUAAUAUACUUCCUCUGAGACAAGAAAAUUCCAGAACUGCUUCUCGACACCUCAAUCCCUAAAAAAUAUUUCAGGGAUCCAAGGUCCUUCAUUUCAAAUUAUGUAGACAGGUAUCUUUGCAAGGCCGCACGUUCUUCCAGAUCAUUACCUGUUACCACCAUAUCGUCUACAUACACAAUAAGUGCAGUAAGCUUCCCAUUCUGUCUUUUCAGGAACAAAGUAUGAUCAGAGUUACUUUGUCUGUAACCAAAUGCUCUCAUAGAUUUUGUGAAUCUUCCGAACCAUGCUCGAGGGGACUGCUUCAAGCCAUACAAGGAUUUCUUCAACCUGCACACUUUUCUUUUGUAUUUAUCUGGAGCAUUACAUCCCGGUGGAAGAUCCAUAUAAAUCUCUUCUGUCAAGUCUCCAUGCAAGAAGGCGUUCUUCACAUCGAACUGUUGUAAGGGCCAAUUAAGAUUUGCAGCCAAGGACAACAAAACACGAACUGUGUUGAUCUUGGCUACAGGUGCAAAUGUAUCUUUGUAGUCGAUUCCAUAUUUUUGAGUGUAUCCUUUUGCUACCAGUCUUGCCUUGAAACGAUCCACUGUCCCAUCUGCUUUGUAUUUCACAGUAUAGACCCAUUUGCAUCCCACAGGUUUCUUGCCAGCUGGCAAAUCUGUGAUUUCCCAGGUAGCAUUCUUCUUCAAAGACUUCAACUCUUCAUUCAUUGCUACUUGCCAACGUGGAUCAGUUAAAGCCUCCUGCACACUGUUAGGAAUAGAUACAGUAGAUAAUUGAUGCACAAACAACUUAUUUGAUUCUGACAGGUGACUGGUAGACACAUAAUUACUUAACGGGUAUAACACAUUAGACUCAGGGUUGGGCUUACUCACCGGAUGCCUAGUUUUGCAUUUAGGGUCGGCUUCAUAAGUAAGUUUAGGAAUACCUCGGUUGACGUGAUCAGGGAGACGACGUGGUGGUGGUGCAUCCGGGAUCGAAGACGAUUGAUUAUGGUUAUUGGGACUCAAGAUCGACUGUGAGGUAGCUGGCGACACAGGGUUGUCUGGUGGUGAGGAAACUGGUAGUGAGCUAUCAGGCAGUGAGUUAUCUGGCGAUGUCGACUCGUCCCUUUCAAGGUUUUCAACAUUGUUUCCAUGUGAAUGAUCACCACUUGUCUCCAAGACAUUACCACUUAAUUCCAAUUCAUUCACAUCAUUAUUUUCGUGUGAAUGAUCACCACUUAUUUCCAAGACAUCACCACUUAAAUCCAAAUCAUUCACUCUGUCUAUAUCUGGAAUAGUAUAAUCAAGAGUUUGAACUUCUUUCUGAUUCUCCCCCUGAAGUGAAGACUCGGGAUUGGCAAAGUACAUAUCAUUCUCAUGAAACGCAACAUCCAUAGUGACAAACAACUUAUUCGUCGAUGGGUGAUAACAACGGUAUCCUUUCUGCCUUGAUGCAUACCCCACAAACACACAUCGUAAGGCUCGAGGUUCAAGCUUACUUCGCUGUUGUUUAUGAAGAUGAACGAAGGCCACACAACCAAACACAUGAGGUGGAAGAUUAGGGACUGCAGGAGCAUCAACAUGUGAAGAAAGUGCCUGAAGGGGUGUCUGAAAAUCAACCGAUCGGGAUGGAACACGAUUAAUGAGAUACGCAGCUGAGGUGAGAGCUUCUCCCCAAUAGGAUAACGGGAGACGAGCCUCGAGUAAAGAAGCACGAACAACCUCCAGAAGCUGACGGUUCUUGCGUUCGGCAACCCCAUUUUGUUAUGGAGUAUAUGGACAUGUAGUUUGAUGAACAAUCCCAUGAUGAUCAAGAAAGGCACGAAGUUCAGAGUUAACAUAUUCGCCACCAUUAUCACUCCUGAGAACCUGUAUUUGCGACUUAUAUUGUACUUGUACCAUUUUGUAAAACUGUUGAAACAAAGAAGUAACUUCACAUUUGGAUUUCAUCAAACAAACCCAAGUCAUACGUGUGCAGUCAUCAAUAAAAGUAACGAACCAAUGAGCACCACCAAAUGUAGCAGUCUUAGAUGGACCCCAAACAUCAGAAUGAAUUAUCAUAAAUGGAACAGAACUUUUAUUCAAAUUGGAUGGAAACGAAGCACGAUGACUUUUAGCUAGUUCACAAACACCACAUUUAAAGCUAGAAACAUCAUGCUUAACAAAUAGGCUAGGAAACAACCUCCGUAGAUAGCCGAAAGAAGCAUGUCCAAGUCGACGAUGCCACAACCAAACCUCCGAAGCUUUAUUCCGAUCCCUCGGAUUUCCUUCCACUGCAAGAGCUUGAGUCAACAUUCGAGAACUGUUUGAUGUCAGCUCCAAGUAGUAGAGCUUCCCUUUCCUAAUACCAUAACCAAUCGUCUUACGAGUCCGAAUGUCCUUAAAAACACAAAAAGAAGGCCAAAAAAUCACAAGACAAUGCAGGACGACAGUUAUUUGAGCAACAAAUAAUAAAUUAUAGUCAAGAGAAGGCACAACAAGUACGGUAUCAAGACUAAGGGUAUCUGAAAGGGAGACGGUUCCUUCCCCGAUAACAGGGGCAGAAUUACCAUUGGCGACACUGACGACAGUUUUGGUGGAUGGUUUUAGGGUGUCUACCUGUCUAGAAUCACAAGUCAUAUGUUUAGUAGCACCAGAAUCAAUUAUCCAUGUAUUAUUCGUAACAGAGGUAGAAACCUUUAAAGCCUUACCAUUGUUACAUGUAUUAGCAGAAUCACAAGGCCAGACUGCCAUUCCCAAGCAAACUUCAAUCAAUAAGUCACUCGGUGAUUGAUAAAGCCCAAAUUUCCAAGCAAACCAAGCCCAAGAAUUUCACGGGCCAACAAGAAGGAUAGCCCAACAAAAAUAAUAAUAAUCUAUAAAAAAAAAACACAAUUUUGUCUUUCCUUGCCGUGUGGGCCUUAAUCAAACAACCAAUAUUUUUUUUUUUUUUAACACCACCAAAUCUCUUCCGUAUGAUUCCCCUUUUUCUUUUUCCUUUUACCUUUUCUGUUUUGUUUUCUUCUCACUUUGAAACAGCAGCAGUGGUAUGGUGGUUCAAGGCUCCAACAAGGAUAAUAGCAGCAAGGACAGAUUGCAGUUCAAGGUGCGAGACAAAGGUGCAACAGUGCUGUGGUGGAUUGGUCAGAUCAGCAAGUCGGAUGGGAGCAGGUUCGUGGGUCGUCGGACCUCGAGUCGGGUACAGCGCAGCAACACAAUUCAAUCGGGUUGCAGUCUGUGCAAUUUUUCACGGCUUCAGAUCAAAUCAGAAGCAAAUAGGCCAAUUGGUCUAUCGUGUCACACAACAGAGAGUUAAACGAUUCGAUGAAUUCGGAUCAGCAACGACAGCGUCGCUCGCUGUUCGUUUCGAAUUCAGAUAGGGUAGCAACGACACCAGUCGCUCGCUGAUCGAGGUCGACGCACCACACACGGUUGAGCCGCAACAGUGCUAUCGCAGCUAUGGGUUUUUUUUCCUUUUUUUUUUUCGACCUGGCUCUGAUGCCAAGAAGAGAAUGCUUUGAAUGAUGAUAUAUUCUUCUCAAUAAGAGGAACUUAUAGGUGUACAACCCUAACAAAAAAGGAAAGAAAACUAAUUACAAGUGAUUACAUGGGAUUACAUAUCAAUUAGGGAUCCUACCUAAAAUACAAAAGUCAACAACAUAUACUAAGAUUUACUCACAUUCUUAGUUGUGAGUUAUUGAUUUGGUAUUUUUAAUCAAUUUUUACAUACAAUUAAUAUAUAGAUUGUAGAUUUACACUCGUUGUUCUUUCCUAAAUUUCUAUUCUCAGUUUUUUAUUUAUUAUUAAUUCAUAAAAAAAAACAAUUUCUUUUUUAAAAUGAAAAUAAGGCGGAGAAUGCAGUAAAUAACAUAUUCACUGGGGUAAGAAAACUAAAAUCAAAUAAGUUACUCAAUGCAUCAACAAAUAUAGUAAAUCUAAUUAUCCAUGAGUUCCAAAAAAACUGAAGCAUGUAAUAAUGUUGAAAAGCAUACUAUCUAUUUAGUCAGAUCACAAACAAUCCCAUGAUAUCUCACAAUAUCAUGAGGGCAUAAACACAAGCAAUUAUCAAGAAGAACACAUAACUAUUAACCCACUCCUCCACCGCUUGACCCCUUUGAUCUACAAAACCAAACAAAAAUUUUCAACCAAAAAUAACUAAUUUAACAAAGCAAAUACAUUAUACAAAAACAAAUAUUCAAUUUAGCUUCAUUUAGAUUACAGGAAGUCCAUUCAAACAACCAAAAGGAUAUAAAUAAAAAUAUUCAAGAACCAACCUUCUUCAAAGAUCACUGGUUCUAGCGUUCAAACCCAAAAACUGAAGACGAUUACUUGAAUUAAAUGAAAAUGAAAAUAUAAUUAAUUUACUCUUAACCAUGGUUUUUUUCAAGAAUCAGAAAAAUCUAAAAAUAUCCCAAACAAUCCCAAAUUUUGGAACUGCUUUAAGCCAACUUACCAUGAAAUUACAGUUGCUUGAGAAAUAUUCUUCAAAUCAGGCCGGAUCAGGCAUUGUAGACUGUGUUUCUUGGAAAUCACUAAAAAACUGGAAUCAGUGCAAAAGCUCCAGGGAUUACGGUGGUGGUUCUCGAUUUUACCGAGAGGGAGAAGGAGAGUUGUAGAGGGGAUACAGAUGGGAGAGGCAGAGAGUAGUGAGGGAUGAGAGAGAGUGACAAUGUUGGGAGUUGGGGGAGUCUGAGUAGGGUAGAGAGAAGUGAAGAGAGGGUUGAGUGAAUUAGUGGGGGUGUAAUUGUGAGUCAGAUGGAUUGGAUGUGUGAUAGAAACCAAAGGAAAAUUCUAGAGAUCCAGCUGGAGGGCAUGCAAGACCGAAGCAAAAGGAAAACCGGAUAAAGGGUGGGUCGAUGUUUGACACGUGGAAAGGUUAAGUAAAAACGAUGCGGUCGAAGCAGAGAAAGAAACGAUGAAAGGCCCGUGUCUAGGAAGGGCAAAAUAGACUUUUUACUGUAGAAAACGUAAAAUAGUAUCUUAUCCAAAGAAGAAACUGAGGGCAUUUUGGUCAAACCACUGUUGAUGAACAGUGUUUUUAUGUUGGGUUUUAGUAUAAUCAAUACCUUAAAUUUUCGUUUCAUAUAGAUGAAACAUCCAGCGUGAUAAAGAUCCAAGUAGAUUCAACUUAAAGGUAUUUAAUUUUUUAUAUUUUUUAUAUUAACAUCUACUAUCCAAAUCAAAAAAACAACACGAAAAAGGCAUAAUAAUAUUACUUCAGUUGUUAUCAUUAAUCAGUAUCAAAUUGUAGUAUUAUUUUAUUCAUAUAAAAAAAGAUAGAUUUACCUCUUUGUUAUCUAUUGCACUUAGCAUUUCUUUAAUAAAAAUAAAUAAAAAUAAAAAAUUAUAUUCAUUUUAGAUAAAGAUUUUGUAAGAAAGCAGUAAUUUUUGACAAAAUUUUUCCAUUGUUUGGUGAUGAAUGAAAUUUGAACUGACUCGAACAUGGCUUCUUUCUUAGCCUUGACUCUUGAGAGGGAGAACGUGUGUUUUAAUUAUGAGAUCCAAAUUCCUAUAAUGCACUUUCAAUGUUGAUUGCACAUUCUUCAUUUAUAGUUGCUACUCCUGCUUUGUUUCAAAACGUCCAUGCUGCUGUUUAUUUAAUUUUCUCACUUUUGCUUCUUGCAGUGAAUGUUUCUUCAUUGCCGAUGCCCCAUUCUUCAUUGUUGGCAAAAUUAUCAUUUAGCAUAUACUUUAACAUUUUAACUUAUUUAUGAACUUCCAAAAUUCAGUACGUAUCAUCGAAUUGCACAUGAAGUACGUAUCAUUGAAUUGCACAUGAUUUACACUUUUAGCUACAUCGAUUAGUACUGAGUUAAGUACAAGUGCCAAUAGAGAACAAUGCGAAAAAUUGGGACAUGGAAAACGAAGAUUUUUUUUCUGUGUAAUAUAUUCUACAAACACAUCUUUUUUACGUUAUUGAACAUAAGGAUGUAAAUAGACUUGGAUAUAAAUGUAAAUAUAUUUUAAUAUAUUUCGCACUUUAAACACGGUUUCCAAACCCGUAGCAUCGCGCGAGCUAAAUUGCUAGUGUUUUACUAAAUUAAAAUCUCUAUAUCAAUUUAAAUAACUAAUAGUGACAGAUAGGGGUGGGUUCGGUACGGUUACCGUACCAAAACCCUUGUACCAAUUACCGUACCAAACUUUCGGUUUGGUAAAAUCUAUUACCAUUACCGUACCAAACUUUCGGUAUACCGAAGUUCGGUAUUGCCAAAAAUUUGGUUGGCAUGGUAUGGCAAUGGUAAUUGCCAUUUUGUUUUGGGACAAAAUAUGUUUUUGUUUUUUUAACCCAAUUCAAGGGCAAAACUUUUUUUUUUUGUACCUUUAUCUCAUACAUUAUAGAUUAAAUUCAUCUAUUAUUCAUCAUUCACAAUUCACA